rnacentral:rRNA from 1 species
UACGGAGGGUGCGAGCGUUGUCCGGAAUCACUGGGCAUAAAGGGCGCGUAGGCGGCGCGACAAGGCGGCGGUGAAAGUCCGGGGCUCAACCCCGGAUCGGCCGUGGCGACUGUCGCGCUCGAGCACAGUAGAGGCGGGUGGAAUUCCGGGUGUAGCGGUGGAAUGCGUAGAGAUCCGGAAGAACACCGGUGGCGAAGGCGGCCCGCUGGGCUGUGGCUGACGCUGAGGCGCGACAGCGUGGGGAGCAAACGGG